GGUGAGUAAUGCAUCGGAACAUGUCCAUGUCGUGGGGGAUAGCCCGGCGAAAGCCGGAUUAACACCGCAUACGCUCGAGAGAGGAAAGCCGGGGACCGCAAGGCCUGGCGCGAUUGGGUUGGCCGAUGUCCGAUUAGCUUGUUGGUGAGGUAAAGGCUUACCAAGGCGAUGAUCGGUAGCUGGUCUGAGAGGAUGAUCAGCCACACUGGGACUGAGACACGGCCCAGACUCCUACGGGAGGCAGCAGUGGGGAAUUUUGGACAAUGGGGGCAACCCUGAUCCAGCCAUUCCGCGUGAGUGAAGAAGGCCUUCGGGUUGUAAAGCUCUUUUGUCCGGAGCGAAACGGGUAGCCCUAAUACGGCUGCCUACUGACGGUACCGGAAGAAUAAGCACCGGCUAACUACGUGCCAGCAGCCGCGGUAAUACGUAGGGUGCGAGCGUUAAUCGGAAUUACUGGGCGUAAAGCGUGCGCAGGCGGUUUUGUAAGCCAGAUGUGAAAUCCCCGGGCUCAACCUGUGAAUGGCAUUUGGGACUGCAAGGCUGGAGUGUGGCAGAGGGGACUAGAAUUCCUGGUGUAGCAGUGAAAUGCGUAGAUAUCAGGAGGAAUACCGAUGGCGAAGGCAGGUCCCUGGGCUAACACUGACGCUCAUGCACGAAAGCGUGGGGAGCACACAGGAUUAGAUACCCUGGUAGUCCACGCCCUAAACGAUGUCGACUGGAUUGUUGGGGGUUUGACACUCUCAGUAACGAAGCUAACGCGUGAAGUCGACCGCCUUGGGGAGUACGGCCGCGAGAUUA
rnacentral:rRNA from 1 species